rnacentral:rRNA from 1 species
CCUACGGGUGGCAGCAGUGAGGAAUAUUGGUCAAUGGGCGCGAGCCUGAACCAGCCAAGUAGCGUGAAGGAUGACUGCCCUACGGGUUGUAAACUUCUUUUAUAAAGGAAUAAAGUGAGGCACGUGUGCCUCUUUGUAUGUACUUUAUGAAUAAGGAUCGGCUAACUCCGUGCCAGCAGCCGCGGUAAUACGGAGGAUCCGAGCGUAAGGCGGAUUUACUGGGUUUAAAGGGAGCGUAGAUGGGUUGUUAAGUCAGUUGUGAAAGUUUGCGGCUCAACCGUAAAAUUGCAAUUGAUACUGGCAGUCUUGAGUGCAGUAGAGGUAGGCGGAAUUCGUGGUGUAGCGGUGAAAUGCUUAGAUAUCACGAAGAACUCCGAUUGCGAAGGCAGCUUACUAAACUGCCACUGACAUUGAUGCGCGAAAGUGUGGGUAUCAAACAGGAUUAGAUACCCGAGUAGUC